rnacentral:tRNA from 1 species
GGAGCUGAACAGUCGAAGGGGCUAUCACCACAAUGGCAUUGUGGGGGUCAGGGGUUCGAGCCCCCUCGGCUCCA